rnacentral:rRNA from 1 species
UCUGCCUAUUAGUGGGGGACAACAUUCCGAAAGGGAUGCUAAUACCGCAUACGUCCUACGGGAGAAAGCAGGGGAUCUUCGGACCUUGCGCUAAUAGAUGAGCCUAAGUCGGAUUAGCUAGUUGGUGGGGUAAAGGCCUACCAAGGCGACGAUCUGUAGCGGGUCUGAGAGGAUGAUCCGCCACACUGGGACUGAGACACGGCCCAGACUCCUACGGGAGGCAGCAGUGGGGAAUAUUGGACAAUGGGGGGAACCCUGAUCCAGCCAUGCCGCGUGUGUGAAGAAGGCCUUUUGGUUGUAAAGCACUUUAAGCGAGGAGGAGGCGCUCUAGGAUAAUACCCUAGAUGCGUGGACGUUACUCGCAGAAUAAGCACCGGCUAACUCUGUGCCAGCAGCCGCGGUAAUACAGAGGGUGCGAGCGUUAAUCGGAUUUACUGGGCGUAAAGCGCGCGUAGGUGGCUAAUUAAGUCAAAUGUGAAAUCCCCGAGCUUAACUUGGGAAUUGCAUUCGAUACUGGUUAGCUAGAGUAUGGGAGAGGAUGGUAGAAUUCCAGGUGUAGCGGUGAAAUGCGUAGAGAUCUGGAGGAAUACCGAUGGCGAAGGCAGCCAUCUGGCCUAAUACUGACACUGAGGUGCGAAAGCAUGGGGAGCAAACAGGAUUAGAUACCCUGGUAGUCCAUGCCGUAAACGAUGUCUACUAGCCGUUGGGGCCUUUGAGGCUUUAGUGGCGCAGCUAACGCGAUAAGUAGACCGCCUGGGGAGUACGGUCGCAAGACUAAAACUCAAAUGAAUUGACGGGGGCCCGCACAAGCGGUGGAGCAUGUGGUUUAAUUCGAUGCAACGCGAAGAACCUUACCUGGCCUUGACAUACAGAGAACUUUCCAGAGAUGGAUUG